UCUGUGCAGUGAUGUUACACGAAUAAAAAUACACGUCAGACUUCGAGAUUUUUUUCAUCGAAAAAUCAAUGAGAUAAAAUAUUCAUACAGCUGAGCAGAAA
rfam:Morus notabilis contig5772, whole genome shotgun sequence.